rnacentral:rRNA from 1 species
GGAAUAUUGGUCAAUGGGCGUGAGCCCGAACCAGCCAAGUAGCGUGCAGGAUGACGGCCCUAUGGGUUGUAAACUGCUUUUAUGCGGGGAUAAAGUCAGUUACGUGUAACUGUUUGCAGGUACCGCAUGAAUAAGGACCGGCUAAUUCCGUGCCAGCAGCCGCGGUAAUACGGAAGGUCCGGGCGUUAUCCGGAUUUAUUGGGUUUAAAGGGAGCGCAGGCCGGAGGUCAAGCGUGACGUGAAAUGUAGCCGCUCAACGGCUGAGUUGCGUCGCGAACUGGCUUUCUUGAGUGAGUUCGACGUGGGCGGAAUUCGUGGUGUAGCGGUGAAAUGCUUAGAUAUCACGAAGAACCCCGAUUGCGAAGGCAGCCCACGAGGCCUUUACUGACGCUAAAGCUCGAAGGUGCGGGUAUCGAACA